UAAAAACAUUGUUAAUUUUUUAAUUAAUACAACCUGCUCGGUGAAAUUUUAACAGCCUCAGUAUCUUAACUGGGCAAAGGUAGCAUAAUUACUUGUUUUUUGAAUAAAAACUUGUUUGAAGGGUUAAACCUUUUUUUUUCAUAAAAAUAAUUUUGAAUUUUCUUUAAAGUAAAAAAGCUUUAAAUAAAAAAAAGACGAGAAGACCCUUAAAGCUUUWAAUUUUAAAUGGGGUAUUUAGAUAAUUUUUUURGAUUAUAUURAAGAAUAAGUUACUUAAGGGAUAACAGGAUAAUAUUAAAUAAAGGUCAUAUUUACUUUAAUGUUUUUUACCUCGAUGUUGAAUUAAUUUUUCCUUUUUAUGCAACAGUAUAAAUGGUCAGCCUGUUCGGCUGUUAAAAAAUUACAUGAUUUGAGU
rnacentral:rRNA from 1 species